rnacentral:rRNA from 1 species
CGCAGCAGGCGCGAAAACUUUACAAUGCGGGCAACCGUGAUAAGGGAACCUCGAGUGCCUGUAUACGCAGGCUGUCCAGGUGCCUAAAACACACCUGAAGAAAGGGCCGGGCAAGACCGGUGCCAGCCGCCGCGGUAAUACCGGCGGCUCGAGUGGUGGCCGCUUUUAUUGGGCUUAAAGCGUUCGUAGCUGGUUUGUUAAGUCUCUUGGGAAAUCUGGCGGCUUAACCGUCAGGCGUCUAAGGGAUACUGGCAAUCUUGGAACCGGGAGAGGUGAGGGGUACUUCGGGGGUAGGAGUGAAAUCCUGUAAUCCUCGAGGGACCACCUGUGGCGAAGGCGCCUCACCAGAACGGCUUCGACGGUGAGGGACGAAAGCUGGGGGCACGAACCGGAUUAGAUACCCGGGUAGUCCCAGCCGUAAACUAUGCUCGCUAGGUGUCAGGCAUGGCGCGACCGUGUCUGGUGCCGCAGGGAAGCCGUGAAGCGAGCCACCUGGGAAGUACGGCCGCAAGGCUGAAACUUAAAGGAAUUGGCGGGGGAGCACAACAACGGGUGGAGCCUGCGGUUUAAUUGGACUCAACGCCGGACAACUCACCGGGAACG